rnacentral:rRNA from 1 species
UACGAAGGGGGCUAGCGUUGCUCGGAAUCACUGGGCGUGAAGGGUGCGUAGGCGGGUUUUUAAGUCAGGGGUGAAAUCCUGGAGCUCAACUCCAGAACUGCCUUUGAUACUGAAGAUCUUGAGUUCGGGAGAGGUGAGUGGAACUGCGAGUGUAGAGGUGAAAUUCGUAGAUAUUCGCAAGAACACCAGUGGCGAAGGCGGCUCACUGGCCCGAUACUGACGCUGAGGCACGAAAGCGUGGGGAGCAAACAGG